rnacentral:rRNA from 1 species
GAUGAACGCUAGCUACAGGCUUAACACAUGCAAGUCGAGGGGCAGCGGAAGGAAGCUUGCUUUCUCGCCGGCGACCGGCGCACGGGUGCGUAACGCGUAUCGAACCUACCCUUUACUCGGGAACAGCCUUGCGAAAGCAAGAUUAAUGCCCGAUGUUCCGCGUUUGCCGCAUGGCAAAUUCGGCAAAGAUUUAUUGGUAAAGGAUGGCGAUGCGUCCCAUUAGUUAGUUGGCGGGGUAACGGCCCACCAAGACGACGAUGGGUAGGGGUUCUGAGAGGAAGGUCCCCCACAUUGGAACUGAGACACGGUCCAAACUCCUACGGGAGGCAGCAGUGAGGAAUAUUGGUCAAUGGGCGAGAGCCUGAACCAGCCAAGUAGCGUGCAGGACGACGGCCCUAUGGGUUGUAAACUGCUUUUAUACGGGAAUAAAGUGAUGCCUGCGGGCGUUAUUGCAUGUACCGUACGAAUAAGGACCGGCUAAUUCCGUG